rnacentral:lncRNA from 1 species
CCCCGUGGAAAAACGCAGUAAGUGGACUAGCGACAUUUUUUUUUUAUUGCACCAUUCAAUUCAGCGUACACGAAUACACCUUCUCACAAAUUUUCAUUAAGAUAUCAGUAAAAAUGAAGAAAUUAUUACAAAAACAAUGAAAUUGUGCAACAUUGAUAAAAAUAUUUUUUCCCCCAUAAUAAGAAAGUAAGUAUAAAUACGUGAUUUUUUUUUGGUAUUUUCCCAUAUAGUAAAGUCAUAAUAACACUUACUUCGAUUUUACACGAAAGUUUUUUAGGAUGGUCGAGUCGUAAGUAAACGUACUGACAUGUUUCACGACAUUAUACGACACGACAGUGGUUGUACGUCUAGUUACUUCGUUAUUCCACGAAUGUUUUAGCGUUACUAUUUGUUGUAACUCCAGCUACUUGCCUAUUCUGCGAAUCUUUUAGUGUAACGGUUUGGUGUAAAUAUAAUCACGUAGUUUUUUCCAAGCAAGGUUUGAUAUUACUAUUACGUUAUUUCAUUUAUCUUCAUUUUUCGAUGAUAUAUUUUACACUAUACUCUUCGUAAAUAUGAAUACAACUCUUUUAAAGACAAUAAUUUGAAUCAUUUGUCGUGUUAUUCUAAUUACCUGCAAAUAUAGACUACUUAUUAAUGUCCUAAGUAAAUAUACUUACUUAUCACUAGCGUAAAUCCCUAUGUUUUAUUUGGUUACUGUACUUACGCCGUGCCAGCGGCGGCGGGCUGCACACUCAAAGAGAGGUAUUAGAAAGAUAUUAGAGAGGUAUUACAUCUAUCCACCAAUUUUUCGUCAAUCUCGACUUUUUAUUCAACCAAAAAUCGACCCUAUUAUUACUGUACUGUGAUCGUUAUUUGUAGGGUCGUAUGCUGAUUGUGGUUUUACCACGGUAAAACCAAGAUCACCUAUAGACAAAAUUAUUGCCGACGAAGUUUAUAAAAAACGACCUUAUUAUUAUUGCACUGUGAUCGUUAUUUGUAGAGUGAAAGCUGAUUGUCUAUUUGUGAUCGUAGUUUUACCACGGUAUUCCGUCAGUCAGCAUACGGCCCUACAAAUAACGAUCGCAUUGUAGUAAUAAUAAGGUCGAUUUUUGUUAGAAUAAAAAGUCAUGAUUGACGAAUGUUGGAUAGAUGUAAUAAUUAUCUCUCUAUUUAAUUUGUUCAUGGUGGCUACUCGAAGCGUGCAUAUCUUUGUGUGGAAGUAAAAAACCCAAGGAUUAUACGUAUGCUCAACUUGGACAAAAUCGAAGAUGGUGAGUUAUUUACUUAUAAAUAGACUAGCUAGAUUUUAGGUACCUAUUACCUUACCUACUUAGUAUAUUACUAUUUAUUAGACUAUUAAUAUUAUUACCUACCUACCUGACGACCUACUUGACGUAAGUUGGUUUGGUUAAUGCGUGAUGAUGAUUGCACUGCUCUGUACUAAUUAUUAAAGUAAACUAAGCAUGCCUAUGUGCCUAUUCGGUGCUUUUAAUCUAUAAACUAACUACCUAUUUAAAUUGGGGUGUGCCGUUUUUGUACAUUCGCUAUCACCUGGCAUAGCACCUGGUAUAUGAAUAAAAUAAAGAUAUUUGAACAAAAAACUGUUACGUGAUCAACUGUAGUAUUUCGGCUUGGUUGUGAAUUAUCUACCUAGGUAUAUAAGUUAACUUUUGCAAAAACACCCUUGAUUUUGUUGUUAUUUGUGCGCUUGAGUUUGAUACACAUUUUAUUAUUAACGCAUUGGUACUAACCUUCUAUUUAAUACCUAAAUAACGAUAAAAUAUCUAGGUUUGUGUCUAAUUUUUAGGGUGAUUUGGUAAUGGGUCCUUUUUAUUGCUUAACGUCUAUUAUGUACCUACCUACAAACAAUGUAUUUAAACCAUUAUGUUCCAAUUAACAGAUUCCACUAAUACUGCAUCCCAAUCCAGUACAACCCAGUGGAAGAAUGACCAGAAAUGCAAAAAUAUUUCAAGAAACUAUGGGAUAUCUUCUCGUCGUAGUCAACAUGAGACACAUUCUCUUGAAGGUUCUACCGAAAAGCAAAGAGGGGGUGAUCGGAAAGGAGCAAAAUGUUCAAGAAAACACUUAAUGACUAACUGUAAUAACUGAAAAUGAAGGUUUUUCUAAUAAAGGCAAGUGCCAUACCGUAUUAAUAUAUUUUGUGAUUAUGCAUGUAUUAAUUAAUAAACGUUUUAAAAUUAAAA